AGCGAACGCUGGCGGCAGGCUUAACACAUGCAAGUCGAACGGUCCUUCGGGAUAGUGGCGGACGGGUGAGUAACACGUGGGAACGUGCCUUUAGGUUCGGAACAACACAGGGAAACUUGUGCUAAUACCGGAUGUGCCCUUCGGGGGAAAGAUUUAUCGCCUUUAGAGCGGCCCGCGUCUGAUUAGCUUGUUGGUGAGGUAAUGGCUCACCAAGGCGACGAUCAGUAGCUGGUCUGAGAGGAUGACCAGCCACAUUGGGACUGAGACACGGCCCAAACUCCUACGGGAGGCAGCAGUGGGGAAUCUUGCGCAAUGGGCGAAAGCCUGACGCAGCCAUGCCGCGUGAAUGAUGAAGGUCUUAGGAUUGUAAAAUUCUUUCACCGGGGACGAUAAUGACGGUACCCGGAGAAGAAGCCCCGGCUAACUUCGUGCCAGCAGCCGCCGCAG
rnacentral:rRNA from 1 species